rnacentral:rRNA from 1 species
AUUGAACGCUGGCGGCAUGCCUUACACAUGCAAGUCGAACGGCAGCACGGACUUCGGUCUGGUGGCGAGUGGCGAACGGGUGAGUAAUGCAUCGGAACGUGCCAUUGAGUGGGGGAUAACGUAGCGAAAGUUGCGCUAAUACCGCAUAUUCUGUGAGCAGGAAAGCAGGGGACCGCAAGGCCUUGCGCUCUUUGAGCGGCCGAUGUCAGAUUAGCUAGUUGGUGAGGUAACGGCUUUACCAAGGCGACGAUCUGCAGCGGGUCUGAGAGGAUGAUCCGCCACACUGGAACUGAGACACGGUCCAGACUCCUACGGGAGGCAGCAGUGGGGAAUUUUGGACAAUGGGCGCAAGCCUGAUCCAGCCAUGCCGCGUGAGUGAAGAAGGCCUCGGUUGUAAG